rnacentral:rRNA from 1 species
GCACAGAGUUAGCCGGCCGCUUCUUCAUUGAGUAACGUCAGCUUGCCGGGGUAUUAACCCGGCACAUUUCGUUCCCAUCGAAAGUGCUUUACAACCCGCAGGCCUUCUUCACACACGCGGCGUCGCUGGAUCAGGCUUUCGCCCAUUGUCCAAUAUUCCCCA